rnacentral:lncRNA from 1 species
GGGAGAGAUGGCUCCCCACCACCCCUUGCUCAAGGCCUGUCUCUCUCCACCCAACGAAGCCAAGGAGUUUACAGACUUCCUGGGUACCACCAAGACUGGCCGAGAUUGACUCAGGCACACGGAGUGCACAGGCCAGUGGGACUGCUGACCUCUUGUCAGGAAUGCAGGGCAAGUGCUACCUGUCAAGACCCCUGGGACCAGAAUAUUACAGAUUAAGACAGCAGACAGGAAACCAAUGAGUGUAGAACAGGAUUCUCUUAAGACCUGGGCCCCCUGCAACUUAGCCAACUUCUGGGAGAAGAUUGACAUUUCCCAUUGCUGGGUAGAAAGGGCAGCUCAAGAGAGAAGGUCAGUUAAAGGAAGAUACAUUUUUUCCCCCAGGAAACUUUUUUUUUUUUUUGUGGCGGGGGCAGUAUUAGGAAUUGAACCCAGCUCCUCACACAUGCUAUGCAAGUGCACUACCACUGAGCUCUACUCCAGGAAAUGUAACACUGCAAAAUUAAAUAGUAAAGCCACUUAUGAACUAUCCUGUGAGUGUGAUUUUGUUGGUUUUUCUUUUUUUGUUGUUGUUGUUUAUUUAUUCACAGUGGCAAACAUGGGAGAACAGAGCAGAGAAGAAAUACUUCCUAAUUUCACUCCUUGACAAUCGUGUGGCAGAGAAGAGCCCGUGAGGGUUGGGGACCACAGCGGUGCUAUAAUUUGCCAUCUAUUGUCUCAAUGAUGAGAUUUAUCCACUCACUGAUGAAUCAAAUAUUGUUUUCAACAAGCCAGCUUUCAAGAACAAUAUUCAUCGUAUGAAAUUAAUGCUCCUCCUUAAAGCAUGAUUGAUUUCUGUGGUUUUUAUAUUCCAAUGCAUUUGUUUUUAUGUUUAUGUGAGGGUUAUAAACAUUCAGGCUUUAUGUCUACUUUAUGUUUGGACUCUUUAA